CGUGCCUAAUCGUGCAAGUCGAGCGAACAGACGAGGAGCUUGCUCCUCUGACGUUAGCGGCGGCCGGGUGAGUAACACGUGGAUAACCUACCUAUAAGACUGGGAUAACUUCGGGAAACCGGAGCUAAUACCGGAUAAUAUAUUGAACCGCAUGGUUCAAUAGUGAAAGACGGUUUUGCUGUCACUUAUAGAUGGAUCCGCGCCGCAUUAGCUAGUUGGUAAGGUAACGGCUUACCAAGGCAACGAUGCGUAGCCGACCUGAGAGGGUGAUCGGCCACACUGGAACUGAGACACGGUCCAGACUCCUACGGGAGGCAGCAGUAGGGAAUCUUCCGCAAUGGGCGAAAGCCUGACGGAGCAACGCCGCGUGAGUGAUGAAGGUCUUCGGAUCGUAAAACUCUGUUAUUAGGGAAGAACAAAUGUGUAAGUAACUAUGCACGUCUUGACGGUACCUAAUCAGAAAGCCACGGCUAACUACGUGCCAGCAGCCGCGGUAAUACGUAGGUGGCAAGCGUUAUCCGGAAUUAUUGGGCGUAAAGCGCGCGUAGGCGGUUUUUUAAGUCUGAUGUGAAAGCCCACGGCUCAACCGUGGAGGGUCAUUGGAAACUGGAAAACUUGAGUGCAGAAGAGGAAAGUGGAAUUCCAUGUGUAGCGGUGAAAUGCGCAGAGAUAUGGAGGAACACCAGUGGCGAAGGCGACUUUCUGGUCUGUAACUGACGCUGAUGUGCGAAAGCGUGGGGAUCAAACAGGAUUAGAUACCCUGGUAGUCCACGCCGUAAACGAUGAGUGCUAAGUGUUAGGGGGUUUCCGCCCCUUAGUGCU
rnacentral:rRNA from 1 species